GACGAACGCUGGCGGCGUGCUUAACACAUGCAAGUCGAACGAAGAGCGAUGGAAGCUUGCUUCUAUCAAUCUUAGUGGCGAACGGGUGAGUAACGCGUAAUCAACCUGCCCUUCAGAGGGGGACAACAGUUGGAAACGACUGCUAAUACCGCAUACGAUCUAAUCUCGGCAUCGAGGAUAGAUGAAAGGUGGCCUCUACAUGUAAGCUAUCACUGAAGGAGGGGAUUGCGUCUGAUUAGCUAGUUGGAGGGGUAACGGCCCACCAAGGCGAUGAUCAGUAGCCGGUCUGAGAGGAUGAACGGCCACAUUGGGACUGAGACACGGCCCAGACUCCUACGAGAGGCAGCAGUGGGGAAUCUUCCGCAAUGGACGAAAGUCUGACGGAGCAACGCCGCGUGAGUGAUGACGGCCUUCGGGUUGUAAAGCUCUGUUAAUCGGGACGAAAGGCCUUCUUGCGAAUAGUGAGAAGGAUAGACG
rnacentral:rRNA from 1 species